GGACCUGGGGGUUACAGUGGACAAUAAGCUGAAGAUGAGCCAGCAGUGUGCUCUUGUUGCCAAGAAGGCUAUGGCAUACUGAGCUACAUUGGUGGGUGUGUUUGUCAUCAGGUCAAGGGAAGUGAUUAUUCCCCUCUAUUUAGCACUGGUGAGGCCACAUCUGGAGUCCUGUGUUCAGUUUUGGGCCCCCCACUACAGAAAGGAUGGGGACAAAUUGGAGAUAGUCCAGCAGAGGGCAACAAAAAUGGUGAGGGGGCUGGCACACAUGAGUAAUAAGGAAAGACUGAGGGAACUGGGCUUAUUUAGUUUAGAGAAGAGAAAACUGAGAGGAGACUUAAUAGCAACCUUCAACUACCUGAAGGUGGGUUCUAAAGAGGCUGGAGCUGGACUGUUCUCAGUGGUGGCAGAUGACAGAACAAGGAGCAACUGUCUCAAGUUGCAGCAAGGGAAGUUUAGGUUAGAGAUUAGGACACAUUUUCUCAUUAGAAGGGUAGUAAAACCCUGGAACAGAGAGAUGGUGAAAUCUCCAUCCUUGAAGGUUUUCAAGACGGUUAGACAAAGCCUUGGCUGGGAUGAUCUCAUUGGGGAUGGUCCCGCUUUGAGCAGGGGGUUGGGCUAGAUGAUUUCCUGAGGUCCCUUCCAACCCUAACUUUCUGCGAUUCUAAGGGAUGCACAGGGGCAGCUAUGGCCCAGGAGCUGUCAAAACUUGGGCCAGAGCCAAAAAGAGCAAGCCAAGGGCCCAGAAGGAAAAUCAGCUGGAAAUAGAUUUCCUCUCCUUGGGGGAGGGGGAUAAAGAAUGAAAGAGGAUUUCUCUUUUUGUGGGGGAGGAUAUAUAGCAGGCUGUGGGGCUAGAGGCUGCAGCCCAGCUAUGCGCAGUAAUGCUCAUUACAGACUGCUCUAGAGGACUGGGCCAGCUGAAGGAGAUAAGUAGCAGCCCCAGGAAGUCAAAAGGCUUCCAGGAAGGGGAAAUCAGGGAGACAGGCAAACCGAAGAGGAGACGAAGUGAGAGUGGUCUGGCCGGCAGCUGCAAUAGCAGACCAGGGUCUCUCGGGGUCUGGGAAGAGACCCAGGUGUUGCAAGACUGGGAGCAGCACUAGCACCAGGGCAGAGAGCUGAGUCGCAGUCAGCCUGUGAGGGAAAGCUGCAGCAAGGAAGGAGCAUCUGUAAGUCAGAGGCAACUCCUCAGGGGCUGAAGCAGACUGAGACCUGUGAUGGUACGUCCUGGAAGUCCACUAGAAAGAAAUACCCUUCGAACUGCAGUAACGAGGGAGUUCUGAAGCGGCCAAGAGUGUCAAACGAUCUACUUGGACAUGCACUGAAUUAGCCUGACAACUAUAUGGAGUUAUAAUUUGAACAAAUUCUUAUAGCUAAAUGUCUUCUGCACAGGGUAGAAGGAGUAUUAUGCCAAUGAACUGAAACUAAAAGGAGUUAUAAAGCGUAUGCAAUCAUCCAUUGACAGGGAGGAGUGGUGAUGUUCCCUCUCUAAUUAACAUUUUUUAGAAUGCCCAAGCCAUUAUAUAAUGGCUUUAAUGUUUUUAAUGCUUAUAUUUCCAGAGUGCCAUCUGCUGUUACUAACCCAUCACCUAAAAUCCCAGCACUGGUUUGUGUAAUGAUAAUGUGUCUGUCCCUUACAUGCUCCUGCCAUCUGAUACACCCACAUACCUCGGCUUUCUUACAUAAAUCUAGAAGGAAGGUGGGGUAACUUGCAGACUGUCAGUACUGCACUCUCAAGUUAGAUUCUAAACUUUUAUCAUGAUAGCCCUAGAUUUACUACUACCCAUAUAUCUGACUUUUCAAUGCCAGAAUUUAUACUUGAAAAGAAACACGAAGAAAGCACGAUACGAUGCCUAUCACCCCAAAAUCAAUGUAGUUCCCUUAUCUACUGCCCGUCAUGAAUUAGAAACAACCCAGUAGGGGCACUGGUUGGCAGUUGAAGAAACUUCUGUUUCAGAAUGUCUUUCAUUGUCUUUUGUCAAGACAAGUGUAAGCCUAGCCGAGUAUACGUCUGCCUUGCUUGGACUGUACCACUAGAUCACAUAUGGCUGAACUGUUAAAUCAUCAGCCUGUGUUAAAUAAAGCUAUUUGUACUGUUUACAUUGA